rnacentral:rRNA from 1 species
UGUUUAAUAAAAACAUUUCUAUCUUUAUUAAAUGGAUAGUCCCCUCUGCCCCAUGCAUUUGUAAAUGGCCGUUUUUACGCUAAGGUAGCGUAAUUGCUUGCUCUGUAAAUAAGAGAUUGGUCUGAAUGAGGAAACCUAUUAGUUAUUGUUUUAUUAAUGAGUUAUGAAUUUAUAUUUUGUGUAAAAAAGCACAUUUUAUUUAAAAGACGAGAAGACCCUGAAAACUUUCUUAGAAUAUAUUAUUUUAAGUUUAAUGGGGCCUUGAAGAAAAUUUAAUAUAGUUUUUUUAAAUGAUGGUAAUAUAGUUACUUCAGGGGUAACAGGACUAUCCACAUUAGAGUUCGUAUUUAAUUGUGGGCUUGUCACCUCGAUGUUGAAUUAGAAAAAUUUUCUAUGAAGAAGGAGAAAGAAUUUGGCCUGUUCGGCCUAUAAUUUCUACAUGAUUUGAGUUU